rnacentral:rRNA from 1 species
GCUCUUGCAUCGAUGAAGAACGUAGCGAAAUGCGAUACUUGGUGUGAAUUGCAGAAUCCCGUGAACCAUCGAGUCUUUGAACGCAAGUUGCGCCCGAAGCCAUUAGGCCGAGGGCACGCCUGCCUGGGUGUUGCACAUCGUUGCCCCGUGCCUUGGCCACGU